CUCGACACAGUCAAAAUUCCCCCCGAGAGCAAAAUUCCAAGUUCCAUAGCCCCCAGUUUUGGCGCCUCGUUUUUUGUCCACUCUAUGUCACUUUGUGUUCCACUGUGCGUUGCGCGGCCCCACUGAAGAGUGGUAAGAAGAAGAGCGGCAAACAGCUGUGGGCGAUAACAACAAUCGAUUGUUAUCGCAAUCGCUUUGUAAGAAAGCAGCGAUUUUUCCAGAUUUUCCAAGUACUUACAAGAAAAGCAAAAGUGUAAUUUACUUAGUUAAACCACCGAAGAAUUAGGUGAUCUUUAAUACAGCGAAACUGCCGCUGUAACAAGAAGAAGCACAGCGAGUGGGGCAGCCAAAGCAACGAGAUUCACACGCACGCACACAGCCACACAAAUUACGUGCAGAGCGCUAUCUAUUCCCCCAUUUUCCACCGAAAAUAAAGCACGGCAGGCGGUAAAGCAGCCAAAUUGCGACGCAUUUCGCAGAUCAAAUAUAAACUAACAAGUGGAAAUUGAAAAGGAAACUGCAGAAGAGGAAGAACCACGCUAGGAGCCCCACAACAAUAACUUUGCAGAUCAGCAGAGCAAGAAGAAGCAGCGGCGGGCCAGCUGAGAAGUGAAGCGAAGAAGCAGGGGCGCGCAGGAGUAGCAGCUGCAGGGGGCAGGAGGAAGCGGAAGGAACAGAGGCGUAGAGGCGCAGAGGCGGCGGGGAGCAGCCACCAUGAGCAUGGUGCGGCGGAUUAUCCUGCUGGGCCCCAAAUACAGUGUCUGGGCAAAGGGAAGCGGAGUUGGUCAAACACAGCGCUCGGCGAGAUGCGUUAUCCUGAGCGCAGACAGCGACGAGGUCAGCCACUGGGGCGUCCGACGCUUUCACCUGGCCACGCGGAACUGCGCGGCCAAUCGACAGAUGAGACUUGAGCCCGCACUGGCAAUACCGGCGUACAUUGACAUCACCAACGCCACCUCGAGAACGCCAGAGGACUCCAGCGACAGCGGGAGUGCCAGCGGAAGUGGGGCCAGUGCAUCGGGGGGCAGUGGAGCCAAGACCCCCGGCGGUGGGGCAGGCUCUGGAGCGAGUACGACCAGUGGCGCCGAUCCGCCUGGCGGCGGCAGUGACAAGUUCCUCUCGUGCCCAAAGUGCGGCAGCGCCUGUACGCAAGUUGAGACAUUCGUGAGCUCCACGCGGUUUGUCAAGUGCGCCAAGUGCAACUACUUCUUCGUGGUGCUGUCCGAGGUGGAGACCAAGCAGCGCACCAAGGACGAGCCCAAGAACCAGCGCAAGCCGCCACCACCGCCCCAGAAGAUCAUGGAGUAUCUGGACAAGCAUGUGGUGGGCCAGGACUUUGCCAAGAAGGUGCUGGCGGUGGCAGUGUACAACCACUAUAAGCGCAUCCACCACAACCUACCGCAGCUGCAACAGCAGGGAGGAGGUUCCGGCAACGGAUCCGGCGGCCUGGACGGUAUUCCCCGGCCAGAUCUGCUACACAUUACAGGGAUCGGUCACACACUAAACAGCUCCCCGGGCAACGAACUGCCAAAAUCGCCAGCUCAGAUGGGCAUGGGUGUCGGAAUGGGAGGUCCAGGACUUGGGGGCGGACUUACCGGCGCAGCAACCAGCAAUGCCCGUGGAGGUGGCGACCACAGAACCGGUUCGGAAAUACUAGACCGGCAGUCCAACGACGUCAAGCUGGAGAAGAGCAACAUCAUCAUGUUGGGCCCAACGGGAUCCGGAAAAACACUGAUCGCCCAGACAAUCGCCAAGUGCCUGGACGUGCCCUUCGCCAUCUGUGACUGCACCACGUUGACCCAGGCGGGAUACGUGGGUGAGGACAUCGAGAGCGUCAUUUCCAAGCUACUGCAGGAUGCUAACUACAACGUGGAGCGCGCUCAAACAGGAAUAGUCUUCCUCGACGAGGUGGACAAGAUCGGUGCCGUCCCUGGAAUCCACCAGCUCCGCGACGUUGGCGGCGAGGGAGUCCAGCAGGGCAUGCUAAAGAUGCUCGAAGGCACGGUGGUCAACGUGCCAGAACGCAACUCCCCGCGCAAGCUGCGUGGCGAGACUGUCCAGGUGGACACCACAAACAUCCUCUUCGUGGCCUCUGGUGCCUACACAGGACUGGAUAGGCUAAUAGCACGUCGUCUCAACGAGAAGUAUUUGGGUUUCGGCAUGCCUUCGACCAGCGGAUCCGGCCGUCGUGCAGCUCAAUCAGCCGCCAGUCCCAUGGACAACGAUCAGGAGGAGCGUGAUAAAUGUCUGACCAAAGUGCAGGCACGUGAUCUCGUAGAGUUCGGAAUGAUACCGGAAUUCGUUGGCCGUUUCCCGGUUAUCGUGCCCUUCCACAGCUUGAACGUCAGCAUGUUGGUGCGAAUCCUCACCGAACCGCGAAACGCCCUAGUGCCGCAAUACAAGGCACUGCUGGGCCUUGAUGAGGUGGAUCUUACCUUCACGGAGGACGCGGUUAAGUCGAUAGCCCAGCUGGCGAUGGAGAGGCAUACGGGAGCUCGUGGACUGCGCUCGAUAAUGGAGCAACUGCUGCUGGAUCCCAUGUUCAUAGUGCCCGGCUCAGACAUUCGGGGGGUUCACAUAACCGCCGAUUAUGUCAAGGGCAGCUCCUCACCCGAAUAUAGCCGUGAUGCGGACGCCCCGGCAUCCGGGACCGCUGCCACGGACUCCGAUACCACAACCGAUAAUGAUAAGAACUUUGAGAAUAGUGAGAAAAUCCCGAAUCCCGUCACUGUGUAAAAUAUGACCCGCUGAGGAGUGAAUGAGUGCUCCCGCAAAUAUUUUUAAAGAAUAUCCUCAAUCCCAUAUGCAUCUGUGAUUCAUAAUCGACGAGCAGCGCAAUCUUUAGAGCCGAAAGCAAUUCAGGUCGGACCGUUUUAGCUCGGCUAUUGUGAUCUUGCCGCUCCAACUGCGGUUCACCGAAUAGAAAAUGCGCGCGAUGACUGUGUGCACGUAUCUGGAAUGGAACUCGGUGGCUUCCUUGAGAAAGGCCAGGCCGGGGUGUGUGUCCACCACAUCCUGCACCAUUGGCACCAGGUCCUCGGGCACGAUGUACGAACGGAAUCUCUGGCCCCGCGACAGAAUGUACACGAAUCUCGAGGCCGCCUCAUGGCAAUAAACAUUCAUUCUGAAAGUCACAGAGGUUUUCUUUUAGAAUAAGUAUGAAAUUAAGUUCUUCGACAAUCAUUUCAUCAAUUAAUUAAAACCUCUUCUGUUGUUUAUUAAAA